CGGGGUGUAGCGCAGCCCGGUAGCGCACCUGGUUCGGGAUCAGGGAGUCGUAGGUUCAAAUCCUAUCACCCCGA
rnacentral:tRNA from 1 species